CAGAAACACAAAAGAGCAACAGACAUUUCAAUAUGGAGAAUUAGCAGAGACGACAUCUUGAAUAGUCAUACUGCAUACAGGGAAACACAUCUUCGACUACGGAAGCACUUGGCAGAAUAGCCACAGUGAGGUCACCAAUGAUUACGAAAUACUAAAGACCAGUCCACAGUAUGUUUGGCUGUGACCUUCAGCCUCUUCCUGCAUCUCAGACUGAGACAGUCCUAACGCUGGGUCCCUGAGCAGGCUGCGAGCCACAGGCAUGAAGAACAAGACCCAGAGUAAAGGGUGCAGGAAUUGGAAUGCAAUAGAGAAGCGCCCAUUUUUUCAAGCACGAUCCUGAAAUAUGACAAGAAGGAAACAGCUCUUUUCCAGAUUCUUUCUGGUAACCUAGAGACACAACGCUGCAGCUUAUUGUCUUGUGGAGAACACUCUCAACUGUUUAGAGCCAAAUGUAAUCACUGCUGGGAAUAUCCUCGACCUUGAACUUCCUUACUAGUCUAAAGACGCAAGCCAGCUCUGUGGGGCUGGUGUAAGGGCUCUGUGUCCUACGGCCGCCCUUUCCUCCUGGAACAAGUCCCUUAGCCACUGAACCAGAGCUUCGGCUAUACAUCUGCCUGCUUUCCCAGAAAAACAAUUUUGCUCUAUUAGCCAAGUGCAGGUCUGGCCUUGGCUUGUCUCAGACAAUGUGCAUUAAGUGUUGAGCCAAGAACAAUGGAGCAUCCGGUAUUCACAACCUGCCAUCUCUCUGACAAAACACCUACUCCAAGGAAAGGCUGGGUGGAGGAAAAGGCCUUCUACCUCUACGCCAUACUUAUCUGCAUUUUCACUUCUGGAACACACUGGGAGGGGUGGAUGAAUUGCUGAGCACCUGCCCCUGGAAGGGACAGAUGAUUGGCAGCUAAGAGAAGAGGGAACCCCAACUCCUGUACUACACAGGUCCAGAGUAAAGCUUCAGGCUUGAGCUGGGGUUGCUGGAAAGAUGGGAAGUGGGUUGUGUCUCAAGUGCCAAAGAAUUUCAUUGUUAUUACUGAGAUUUAUUAGAUUUUCUUGAAUAAACAUUUCUUCAUUUGC